AGAUUGAACGCUGGCGGCAUGCUUUACACAUGCAAGUCGAACGGCAGCGCGGGGCAACCUGGCGGCGAGUGGCGAACGGGUGAGUAAUAUAUCGGAACGUACCCAAGAGUGGGGGAUAACGUAGCGAAAGUUACGCUAAUACCGCAUACGAUCUAAGGAUGAAAGCAGGGGACCGCAAGGCCUUGUGCUCCUGGAGCGGCCGAUAUCUGAUUAGCUAGUUGGUAGGGUAAAGGCCUACCAAGGCUACGAUCAGUAGCUGGUCUGAGAGGACGACCAGCCACACUGGAACUGAGACACGGUCCAGACUCCUACGGGAGGCAGCAGUGGGAAUUUUGGACAAUGGGCGCAAGCCUGAUCCAGCAAUGCCGCGUGAGUGAAGAAGGCCUUCGGUUGUAAAGCGUCUUUGUCUAGGAAGAAACGGUGGAGACUAAGUAUCUCCCAACUAAUAGACGGUUACCGUAGAAGAAUAAGACACCGGACUAACUACGUACGACCACGCAACGCCGUA
rnacentral:rRNA from 1 species